rnacentral:rRNA from 1 species
AUGCACUGGUUUGCGUGGUGGAAAAUGUGUGUUUCGAAGAAGAAGGGUGGUAUGGGGUUUAGGGACCUUCAUAGCUUUAACCUUGCUAUGCUAGCAAAGCAGUGUUGGCGACUUCUCCAAAAUCCCGAAUCUUUGUGGACGCGUGUUCUCAGUGCUAAGUACUAUCCUGGAGGUGACAUAUUAAAAGCAGGGCCAAGAAAGGAACCUCAUUCACAUGGCAAAGUAUUGUUGCUGGGAUUCAAACCUUCAAAAGGGGCUGUAUAUGGCAAGUUGGGACGGGGUCACAUAUAA